GUUGUAUAGUCAAGUAAUUAAGUGCAUGUGGUGGAUGCCUUGGCAGUCAGAGGCGAUGAAAGACGUGAUAGCCUGCGAAAAGCUCCGGGGAGGCGGCAAAUAUCCUUUGAUCCGGAGAUGUCUGAAUGGGGGAACCCACCUACUUUAAGGUAGGUAUUGCAACAUGAAUACAUAGUGUUGCAAGGCGAACGAGGGGAAGUGAAACAUCUCAGUACCCUUAGGAAAAGAAAUCAAUUGAGAUUCCCUCAGUAGCGGCGAGCGAACGGGGAUCAGCCCAUUAAGUUAUGUGUGUUUUAGUGGAACGCUCUGGGAAGUGCGAACGUAGAGGGUGAUAUUCCCGUACACGAAAGGGCACACAUAAUGAUGACGAGUAGGGCGAGGCACGUGAAACCUUGUCUGAAUAUGGGGGGACCAUCCUCCAAGGCUAAAUACUCCUGACUGACCGAUAGUGAACCAGUACCGUGAGGGAAAGGCGAAAAGAACCCCUGUGAGGGGAGUGAAAUAGAUCCUGAAACCGCAUGCAUACAAGCAGUGGGAGCACCUUCGUGGUGUGACUGCGUACCUUUUGUAUAAUGGGUCAGCGACUUAUAUUCAGUAGCGAGGUUAACCGUAUAGGGGAGCCGUAGAGAAAUCGAGUCUUAAUAGGGCGUUUAGUUGCUGGGUAUAGACCCGAAACCAGGCGAUCUAUCCAUGAGCAGGUUGAAGGUUGGGUAACACUAACUGGAGGACCGAACCCACUGUCGUUGAAAAGCCAGGGGAUGACUUGUGGAUAGGGGUGAAAGGCUAAUCAAGCCUGGUGAUAGCUGGUUCUCCCCGAAAGCUAUUUAGGUAGCGCCUCGGACGAAUACCAUAGGGGGUAGAGCACUGUUUCGGCUAGGGGGUCAUCCCGACUUACCAAACCGAUGCAAACUCCGAAUACCUAUGAGUACUAUCCGGGAGACAGACUGCGGGUGCUAACGUCCGUAGUCAAGAGGAAAACAAUCCAGACCGCCAGCUAAGGCCCCAAAAUCAUAGUUAAGUGGGAAACGAUGUGGGAAGGCAUAGACAGCUAGGAGGUUGGCUUAGAAGCAGCCACCCUUUAAAGAAAGCGUAAUAGCUCACUAGUCGAGUCGGCCUGCGCGGAAGAUGUAACGGGGCUAAAACUAUGUGCCGAAGCUGCGGAUNNNNNNNNNNNNNNNNNNNNNNAUGCUGGAGGUAUCAGAAGUGCGAAUGCUGACGUGAGUAACGACAAAACGGGUGAAAAACCCGUUCGCCGAAAGACCAAGGGUUCCAGUCCAACGUUAAUCGGGGCUGGGUGAGUCGACCCCUAAGGCGAGGCCGAAAGGCGUAGUCGAUGGGAAAAUGGUUAAUAUUCCAUUACUUCUGUGUAAUGCGAUGAGAGGACGGAGAAGGCUAAAUCAGCCUGGCGUUGGUUGUCCAGGUGAAAGGAUGUAGGCAUGUAUCUUAGGCAAAUCCGGGGUACUCUAUGCUGAGAUCUGAUAGCAAGCUGUACUUGUACAGCGAAGUGGUUGAUGCCAUGCUUCCAGGAAAAGUCUCUAAGCUUCAGUUACACAGGAAUCGUACCCGAAACCGACACAGGUGGUCAGGUCGAGUAGACCAAGGCGCUUGAGAGAACUCUGCUGAAGGAACUAGGCAAAAUGGUACCGUAACUUCGGGAGAAGGUACGCUGUUGUUGGUGAUGGAACUCGCUUCCUGAGCUGACGACAGCCGCAGAAACCAGGCCGCUGCAACUGUUUAUUAAAAACAUAGCACUCUGCAAACACGAAAGUGGACGUAUAGGGUGUGAUGCCUGCCCGGUGCUGGAAGGUUAAUUGAUGGGGUUAGCGUAAGCGAAGCUCUUGAUCGAAGCCCCAGUAAACGGCGGCCGUAACUAUAACGGUCCUAAGGUAGCGAAAUUCCUUGUCGGGUAAGUUCCGACCUGCACGAAUGGCAUAAUGAUGGCGGCGCUGUCUCCAGCAGAGGCUCAGUGAAAUCGAAAUCGCUGUGAAGAUGCAGUGUACCCGCGGCUAGACGGAAAGACCCCGUGAACCUUUACUGCAGCUUGACACUGAACUUUGACCUUACUUGUGUAGGAUAGGUGGGAGGCUUUGAAGCUGGAACGCUAGUUCCAGUGGAGCCGUCCUUGAAAUACCACCCUGGUAAUGUUGAGGUUCUAACUCUGUCCCGUGAUCCGGGACGAGGACCGUGUCUGGUGGGUAGUUUGACUGGGGCGGUCUCCUCCUAAAGAGUAACGGAGGAGUACGAAGGUGCGCUCAGCGUGGUCGGAAAUCACGCGUAGAGUAUAAAGGCAAAAGCGCGCUUAACUGCGAGACCCACAAGUCGAGCAGGUACGAAAGUAGGUCUUAGUGAUCCGGUGGUUCUGUAUGGAAGGGCCAUCGCUCAACGGAUAAAAGGUACUCUGGGGAUAACAGGCUGAUACCGCCCAAGAGUUCAUAUCGACGGCGGUGUUUGGCACCUCGAUGUCGGCUCAUCUCAUCCUGGGGCUGAAGCAGGUCCCAAGGGUAUGGCUGUUCGCCAUUUAAAGAGGUACGCGAGCUGGGUUUAGAACGUCGUGAGACAGUUCGGUCCCUAUCUACCGUGGGCGCUGGAAAUUUGAGAGGAUCUGCUCCUAGUACGAGAGGACCAGAGUGGACGAACCUCUGGUGUACCGGUUGUGACGCCAGUCGCAUCGCCGGGUAGCUAUGUUCGGAAGGGAUAACCGCUGAAAGCAUCUAAGCGGGAAGCCUACCUCAAGAUAAGAUUUCCCUAGGACUUUAUGUCCUCUAAAGAGCCGUUCGAGACUAGGACGUUGAUAGGUUGGAUGUGGAAGCAUAGUGAUAUGUGAAGCUGACCAAUACUAAUUGCUCGUGAGGCUUGACUAUACAACACCCAAGCAGUUG
rnacentral:rRNA from 1 species